rnacentral:rRNA from 1 species
AUGCUUGUCUCAAAGAUUAAGCCAUGCAUGUCUAAGUAUAAACAACUUUAUACUGUAAAACUGCGAACGGCUCAUUACAUCAGCAAUAAUUUAUUUGAUGAUUUCUUACUACAUGGAUAACUGUAGUAAUUCUAGAGCUAAUACAUGCGCAAAGUCCUGACUCGCGAGGGGAGGGAUGUAUUUAUUAGAUACAAAACCAAUGCGGGUUCUGCUCGCCAUUGUGUUGAAUCAUAGUAACUUAUCGGACGCCAUAGCCUUGUGCUGGGCGUAGAUCAUUCAAAUUUCUGCCCUAUCAGCUUUCGACGGUAGUGUAGUGGACUACCGUGGCGUUAACGGGUAACGGGGAAUA